rnacentral:rRNA from 1 species
GAUGAACGCUGGCGGCGUGCCUAAUACAUGCAAGUCGAGCGAACAGACGAGGAGCUUGCUCCUCUGACGUUAGCGGCGGACGGGUGAGUAACACGUGGAUAACCUACCUAUAAGACUGGGAUAACUUCGGGAAACCGGAGCUAAUACCGGAUAAUAUAUUGAACCGCAUGGUUCAAUAGUGAAAGACGGUUUUGCUGUCACUUAUAGAUGGAUCCGCGCCGCAUUAGCUAGUUGGUAAGGUAACGGCUUACCAAGGCAACGAUGCGUAGCCGACCUGACAGGGUGAUCGGCCACACUGGAACUGAGACACGGUCCAGAUUCCUACGGGAGGCAGCAGUAGGGAAUCUUCCGCAAUGGGCGAAAGCCUGACGGAGCAACGCCGCGUGAGUGAUGAAGGUCUUCGGAUCGUAAAACUCUGUUAUUAGGGAAGAACAAAUGUGUAAGUAACUAUGCACGUCUUGACGGUACCUAAUCAGAAAGCCACGGCUAACUACGUG